rnacentral:rRNA from 1 species
AUUGAACGCUGGCGGCAGGCUUAACACAUGCAAGUCGAGCGGAGCGAGGGUGCUUGCACCUUAGCUUAGCGGCGGACGGGUGAGUAAUGCUUAGGAAUCUGCCUAUUAGUGGGGGACAACAUUCCGAAAGGAAUGCUAAUACCGCAUACGCCCUACGGGGGAAAGCAGGGGAUCUUCGGACCUGGCGCUAAUAGAUGAGCCUAAGUCGGAGUAGCUAGUAGGUGGGGUAAAGGCCUACCAAGGCGACGAUCUGUAGCGGGUCUGAGAGGAUGAUCCGCCACACUGGGACUGAGACACGGCCCAGACUCCUACGGGAGGCAGCAGUGGGGAAUAUUGGACAAUGGGGGGAACCCUGAUCCAGCCAUGCCGCGUGUGUGAAGAAGGCCUUAUGGUUGUAAAGCACUUUAAGCGAGGAGGAGGCUUACCUAGUUAAUACCUGGGAUAAGUGGACGUUACUCGCAGAAUAAGCACCGGCUAACUCUGUGCCAGCCGCCGCAGUAA